rnacentral:rRNA from 1 species
AUUCGAUGCAACGCGAAGAACCUUACCCGGGCUUGAACUGCAGGAGAACGAUUCAGAGAUGAUGAGGUCCUUCGGGACUCCUGUGGAGGUGCUGCAUGGUUGUCGUCAGCUCGUGCCGUGAGGUGUCGGCUUAAGUGCCAUAACGAGCGCAACCCCUUUUCUUAGUUGCCAUCGGGUCAUGCCGGGCACUCUGAGGAUACUGCCACCGUAAGGUGUGAGGAAGGUGGGGAUGACGUCAAAUCAGCACGGCCCUUACGUCCGGGGCUACACACGUGUUACAAUGGGGCAUACAGAGUGUUGGUUGCAUGUAAAUGUAAUCUAAUCUUCAAAGUGCUUCUCAGUUCGGACUGGGGUCUGCAACCCGACCCCACGAAGCUGGAUUCGCUAGUAAUCGCGCAUCAGCCAUGGCGCGGUGAAUACGUUCCCGGGCCUAGUACAC